rnacentral:rRNA from 1 species
AUUGGACAAUGGGCGCAAGCCUGAUCCAGCCAUGCCGCGUGGGUGAUGAAGGCCCUAGGGUUGUAAAGCCCUUUCAGCGGGGAAGAUAAUGACGGUACCCGCAGAAGAAGCCCCGGCUAACUUCGUGCCAGCAGCCGCGGUAAUACGAAGGGGGCUAGCGUUGCUCGGAAUUACUGGGCGUAAAGCGCACGUAGGCGGCUUUCUAAGUCGGGGGUGAAAUCCUGGAGCUCAACUCCAGAACUGCCUUCGAUACUGGAAAGCUCGAGUCCGGGAGAGGUGAGUGGAACUGCGAGUGUAGGGGUGAAAUCCGUAGAA